GCCCGGGAUGGGAAUUACACCGGCCGCCGGCUCCUGCCAGCCUAGGGCUGGUCCCGAGCCACGCAGCUUGGAUUGCACUGGGCAGUUUCAGACCAGCUCAGCACACCCCGCUGAGAGCAGCCUCGGGGCCUUGCCUGGCAGCAGUGCCCACCUCCCUCCCGGCAGUGGUUCCAGAGCAGGGUGGGAAGGGCCCCGGGGAGGUGUGUAGCCCAGGCCCGGGUGUGCGCCGCUUCCUCCCUGCCCUAAGCACGGCCCGUGGGCAGGGGUGCCCCAGCUGGGCCUGGCGCCCCGCGCCGAUGCUUGCUGGAGAAGGCGGUGGCAUUUAUAAAGCAGCGAUUGUGAUGCAUCUGCCAAGUCUGAUUUGUUUUGUCAUUUCAUAAAACUGUUUUCAAUCCAAUAAAGCAUGUAGGAGAUUUUGA